AUUUUAAUAAUCUUCAUAUUCAUUUUACCAUAUCAUACCAUCUAACCAAACAAAAAAAAGGUUAUUAAAUCAUCUUAUAUUAUAAAAAUUUUCCAAACAUGUUAACAAUAAAACCAUACAAUACAAUACAGUAUAAUAUGAUACGAUACAUUAAUAAACCAUGUUGCACUCAAUCCAAACACAAUGUAAAACAUAAACUAACUUCUUGGUUGGGUGGAACCAUGGAGGCCACAAAGAGCAGAUCCAAGAUAUGCAAGCAACUAGCUUAAUGAGGAUAUAGCGAGUGAUGAAUUAAAAAUUUAAAAAUAACCAGUUAGAAGUUUGAACAGCUAAUUGUUGAAAAGAUUUGCACAAUAUAUUAUCUCAUAUCUCUCAUAAAGAUAAACUCUGAAAGUUUAUGGAAAGACAUGCUCCACUUCUCACUACCAAUUCCUAGCACAUAGUGAAACAAGGAAAGAGAUUCUAUAAAUCUUGAAAUUUGGUGGAUGUACUUUAGCUUUAAGAGCCAAUUUUACACCUGGUUCAUUAUUUGUUGCUUGAGCUUAGUUUUUACGCAUUUUAUAGACAAUUGAUUUGACCAUCAAGUUGUUAAGGCAUUACAAUCCAUAUUCAAGGUGCACCAUGAUAGGGGAAGUAACAAAGGGCCUGGCCCAAGGACAUUUCAAGUAUAUUCCAGAAGGGGGAAAAUGAACUUAAGUAGAGAAGAAGAGGGAACCAGUAAUCUGUUACUGGAAGAAGAUUGUUCAAGAAAAUUAUUAGAGGAAGAAGCAGGAACAGUGACAUGUGGAAGAGAAAUUGUGGAGGGCUUAAAUUAUAAAUAGUGUAGAUGAGUGGCAGUAGGUGUGGAGAAAAUUGUCUUCUUUUUGAAGGGCAGGGGAUUUCCUCAUGCAUGGGAUUUACUUUCUGGGGGCUUAGCCUAUUCUUGUUCUUUUGUUUGUUUCUGUUCUUAGCAGUGUUUGCUUAUGAUUUGUGAACAGUGAAUUUG
rnacentral:misc_RNA from 1 species